rnacentral:rRNA from 1 species
UACAGAGGGUGCGAGCGUUAAUCGGAAUUACUGGGCGUAAAGCGCACGUAGGCGGCUUGGUAUGUCGGGUGUGAAAUCCCCGGGCUCAACCCGGGAACUGCGUCCGAUACUGGAAGGCUUGAAUCCGGGAGAGGGAUGCGGAAUUCCAGGUGUAGCGGUGAAAUGCGUAGAUAUCUGGAGGAACUCCGGUGGCGAAGGCGGCAUACUGGACCACUACUGACGCUGAUGCGCGAAAGCCAGGGGAGCAAACGGG